CGAGCAGUGUCGGUUUCGUGGGGGAGGAGACGCCCUUUGGUUGGUCCUGGCGAGGACAGUGUUUUGGUCGCGGGCACUGUGGGAAACAGAAAAGGAAAGUGAAUUCGAAUACAACAGCGGCGAUCCCGCAAGGUUUCUUGUGCACGUGUUUUGACUUCUUUGCAGGGUUCUGCCUCAAAAAUCAGACUUCUUUCCCACAGCCGUCCAGCAUCACCCCUCGUCAGCUAAAACGGGGAGGGCUUGAAAGCGCGUGAGGCGGGACUUCCCAGUGCAGAAGUGAAGAGAAACUGCCUCCGAUUCUGAUGCCAAAGGGAAGGAGUUACCCUUGGUUGGUGCGUACAGGACUUCCAGUGCUACGCUGCAUAUGAGCGGGGAGAGUGGGCCCCCGUGUUUUGUUCCUGAUUUGUUUCUCAAUUACUAUGCUUGAGUGUGCCAUCUGCUGUUUUUUGAUGGAUAUGGCAGCAACUGAGGUUUUUGGCUAAAGGCAGGAGAGGAGAUCAAAUGUCCAAGAAGAGAAAGCAAGAAUGAGGAAGACCAUGUGUGGAUACAGCAAGAAGGCAGCCAUCUGCAAGGAGAGAGUUCUGAUCAGACACUGCCCCUGCCUGCGCCUUGAUUUUAGACCUUCAGUCUCCAGAACUGUGAGAAAUAAACUC